rnacentral:rRNA from 1 species
CGCCGCGGUUAUACGAGAGGCCCAAGUUGAUGGACAUCGGCGUAAAGCGUGGUUAGAAGAAAAGAAUACUAAGACCGAACACUUUUAGUGCUGUUAUACGCAUUCAAGAACCAGAAGCCCAACUACGAAAGUGGUCUUAACCAAACUUUGAAGCCACGAAAGCUAAGACA